rnacentral:misc_RNA from 1 species
CACAAGAAGAACACGUUACUUACAGCUUGUGGUGUUGGAAAUCGAAAGAGGCACUGGAGAUAUGGCCAGAAGAAAAAGAAUGCAAACAAUCGAGAGAAUCAGAGGCAUCGUUCCCUCAGGCUGAGGGCGAGUUUUUUUUCCCCUCCUCACAGCCUGAAGCCGAAGCGCACGAAGAAGAAGCAGAGCUGCGCGACCACCACCACGGACUCCACGAGCCACAGCAGGUGGUACGCCGCGCGCUGGAACAGCGCCGCCAGCACGUUCCCGCGCGGCUUCCUCCACCGCAGCGCCGACGGGAGCGCGGCCGCCAGGAGCUUCCGCCGCGGCGACGACUGCGCCGGCGCCGACGCCGACGCACUGCCGCCGACGCCGCCGCUGUUGUCACCGCUCCCUGUAGCGGCCGCGGCCGCGGCCGUCUUCCUCCUCGGCGCCAUCCGCUUCCGCAUCCACUCCCGCACCUUGCUCUUGAUCCUGCUGCCCGCGCCCGCCAUCACAACGCAAAACGAUCAGGUCGGGUCUCAAGAACUCAAGCUGCUGCCAAGUGCCACCUCAACACGUACGUGCGCUGCCUUUAUUUGCCUUUGCCUUGCCUUGAGCUGUCUCGGAAAUAAAUCGCACGGUCUCCGGCUCUCGUCGCCCGAGCCUUUUAUCCUGCGACGCCACGCGGUUCGCGGAGUUUGACGUUGCCGCCACCCUCGCCGUGGCGCGUUCUUUCGCUCGGGUUUCCUCCCCCCAGGUAGUCCAUGGACGGAGUUGGGGACCGGGCACAAAAAAUACUCACAAAUCACGAGAGAUAUAUAGAGAGAGAGGGGCUUGACGAUUCAAAGUCAAACUGGGCCUUGGUCAACUGGGUCAGGUAAGUAGCUAGUAUUAGCUGCUUUUGCUUGGAAGAUUCUGGUCUCGGAAGCGAGUUGGCGUGCUGAUUGUGGAUUGGUAGGCAGGCAGGCAGGCAGACACGAUGGCUUGGGGAAGGGGGUGUACAAGGCAACGGAUUCCGAUGGUUAACGACUACAGUCUAGAAAAUUAAAAAUAUUCCCGUUCCGUUAGGUUUAUUAAUAACCGUAUUAUCAUUGCUCGAUAGUGAUAGGUCAAACUUCGCCCCGCCAGCUCAGGCUGCAGACCGGUUCGUCAUCUCUGAUGCGAAUGCGAUGCUACUCGCGAAGUCGUAAUGCGUUUCUCUGAUAGCCAGGGCUGAUGCUUACUGUAUUCGGGUACAGGCUACCGACCAGAAACGUUUUUUCCAUUUUUAUGUCUCCACUUGUUGUAUCUACUUCUGGAAGCACAUGUACUCCCUACUACCUAGCAGGGCCCUGUAGAACACCGCCAGAACGUGGACAUUCUUCGGGUUGAUUUACAUUUUUUUCCUUGCAUCUUCAAAUUCUGAUUUCUUCCAUCGCUUUGGAGUGAAGGUCUCAAAGGUCUAUGUUAACAAAGAUCAAAUAUCAUUGUCUAGACAUGUUGUCAGAAAAAAGAGUGUAUAUCAAAGUCAAAG